GGUGGGUCAGGUACAGGUGGGUCAGGUAAAACAGGUGAGAAAGGUGUGAGAAGGUAGGCCAGGUGUGUGGGCCAGGUAAAGGUGGGUCAGGUAAAGGAGAGACAGGGGGGCCAGGUAAAGGAGAGAC